rnacentral:misc_RNA from 1 species
GAUGAAGAACGCAGCGAAAUGCGAUAAGUAAUGUGAAUUGCAGAAUUCAGUGAAUCAUCGAAUCUUUGAACGCACAUUGCGCCCGCCAGUAUUCUGGCGGGCAUGCCUGUUCGAGCGUCAUUUCAACCAUCAAGCCCCCGGCUUGUGUUGGGGACCUGCGGCUGCCCGCAGGCCCUGAAAACCAGUGGCGGGCUCGCUGUCACACCGAGCGUAGUAGCAUACAUCUCGCUCUGGGCGUGCUGCGGGUUCCGGCCGUUAAACCACCUUCAUAACCCAAGGUUGACCUCGGAUCAGGUAGGAAGACCCGCUGAACUUAAGCAUAUCAAUAAGCGGAGGA